rnacentral:lncRNA from 1 species
CCUUUUAAUGCACUAAUAGCAGUAGGGAGCAUCAACUGAAAUAAUUGGAGCUUUAUUGGAUAAGUAGAAUAAGACAUUUAAUAUUUUUGGGUGUCUUCUCCCAGUGUAGGAGUAGAACAUUUUCUAAGUGGAUGUGGAAUGUGGAUGGGUAAACGUACUCCCAGGGUAGAAAUAGUAGAGUGUAGUGCGUAUAUGUGGGUGGUACUUCCAGGAACAGAAGUAGCACAUGGUGAAUGUGGUGGAUGUAAGUGGUUGCGUACUUCUAAGGACAGAAGUAGCUAAGAUCAAUGGAUGGAGAGCACAUAAUUUGACUUUAACUGCAUGACUAGUUCCUUAGGGUCUACACAGCUUAACUACCCUCCAUGCUUAUCGGUUGAAAUAUAAGUGGAGGUUUCCUAAUCUAGUAAACAUGAUUAUUUGGUUGUGGUAGG